rnacentral:rRNA from 1 species
AGAGUUUGAUCCUGGCUCAGGAUGAACGCUAGCUACAGGCUUAACACAUGCAAGUCGAGGGGCAGCAUGAACUUAGCUUGCUAAGUUUGAUGGCGACCGGCGCACGGGUGAGUAACACGUAUCCAACCUGCCGAUGACUCGGGGAUAGCCUUUCGAAAGAAAGAUUAAUACCCGAUGGCAUAGUUCUUCCGCAUGGUAGAACUAUUAAAGAAUUUCGGUCAUCGAUGGGGAUGCGUUCCAUUAGGUUGUUGGCGGGGUAACGGCCCACCAAGCCUUCGAUGGAUAGGGGUUCUGAGAGGAAGGUCCCCCACAUUGGAACUGAGACACGGUCCAAACUCCUACGGGAGGCAGCAGUGAGGAAUAUUGGUCAAUGGACGAGAGUCUGAACCAGCCAAGUAGCGUGAAGGAUGACUGCCCUAUGGGUUGUAAACUUCUUUUAUAAAGGAAUAAAGUCGGGUAUGUAUACCCGUUUGCAUGUACUUUAUGAAUAAGGAUCGGCUAACUCCGUGCCAGCAGCCGCGGUAAUACGGAGGAUCCGAGCGUUAUCCGGAUUUAUUGGGUUUAAAGGGAGCGUAGGCGGACGCUUAAGUCAGUUGUGAAAGUUUGCGGCUCAACCGUAAAAUUGCAGUUGAUACUGGGUGUCUUGAGUACAGUAGAGGCAGGCGGAAUUCGUGGUGUAGCGGUGAAAUGCUUAGAUAUCACGAAGAACUCCGAUUGCGAAGGCAGCUUACUGGAUUGUAACUGACGCUGAUGCUCGAAAGUGUGGGUAUCAAACAGGAUUAGAUACCCUGGUAGUCCACACAGUAAACGAUGAAUACUCGCUGUUUGCGAUAUACAGUAAGCGGCCAAGCGAAAGCGUUAAGUAUUCCACCUGGGGAGUACGCCGGCAACGGU